GUGCUGGAGUGUGUGUGUGUGGAAAAACAGGAUUCUUGUAUACAUGUUGGCCAUCGGAGGCGUCGUGUGGUUAUACGAUGACACAUGAUGAUAGAAAAUGCCGGAGAGUAUAUAUGGAAAAUCGCUAACAGGCGGAACCAAAUAGGAUUGCAGCAUUUCCGCUCGCCACCAAACAUCAUCCGAGGGAUGGGGAAUGAUGAAUUGAUGGCGGUUAGCCAUCCAUCAUCAAACCGACCUCGCUUUUUUGUUAUUUCGUUGGGGUUUUUCUUCGAUUUGAAAUCAUUCUUUCAUCCUUUCUCUUUUUUUGGAAAUAAAAAAAGUCUAUCUACUACUACUACCAGCAGCGCGUGUUACCGUGUGGGCUACUGAAUAAAUACACACAAUAGAGAAAACGA